UUUUUUAAAUUGGACGUAUUGCUAUUUUUAUCCUAGUCGAAAUUAUGAAACGAAACGUUUUGACAGUCCGUUUGCCAAUAAGCAGUGAUCAGUUUCUUUUGUUUGUUUUUCUAUUGUUUACCUACUAUAUUAGAUGAUGACUUACCUCCAAAACGCUUUAAAACUUUCGUUUAUAAUUCUAAGUGUGUUUAUAAUUAAAGAGCUACAGUGAAAUAAAAUGAAUUCUUCAAGAAAGGCAGCAGCCAUGACAAAAGAUGAGACGAUGAUUCUAGCAGAACUUGUGGCGGCGAAAAAACACAUCAAUAAUAAGGCAACAAAUGCCACAAACAAUAAAUUGAAGCAGCAGGCUUGGCAAACCCUUGUAAGUAAUUUUAAUUCGUCGAUUCGUCGUUUCCCAUGAACUCCAUCGCAGCUUCGACUAAAAAUGGGAAAACUUAAAGAACGCUACGGCAACAUAAGAAACAACCUUAGUAAGGCUGUAGGUGGUAAGGAUUGCAGAUGAAAUUUUGGAUAAAGCAUGCACAUUGUUGUAGGUCACAUAUAUUUUUAACACUUUUACAGCCAAGCGGAAACAAGAUGGAAGAAAAGAAAUGCAAUGCAUUAGCAGAAUAUAUAAUAGCCAAAAAGAGACUUGACUUGGAAAACGAAGAAAAGGAGAUUGUUGUAGCAAAACUUAAGUUAGAUUUAGAUAAUGUUAGAUUAAAAAAUUAAAAAUUACUUAAAAGGAUUUCAUAAAUUAAGUAGGCAAUAAUAAUUUUAUGUUAAAUAGUUUUUUAAGUAUAU